UACCCUAAUGCCCUAUAACUUUUUUGGGAUUUUGGGUAUUUUAUUAUUCCCAUACAAAAAAUUUGCACUAUGGCAACCCUUAUUCAUUCGAGAACAAAAGUACGACUCUGUACCGCCGUUAAAAACUGGCCAGGCGGCGACGUACUGUGAACAGCUGCUUGAAUGAAUGGAAGAGGAGGAGGCAAAUAAGAAAAAUACUACGCGUGGGUGAAGAAGAAGCACCCAAACAAAAAAAAAUAUCAAUGGAUACAACGAGGUUCUGGUGGAUUUCUAUGGCCGUAUAAGGGGAUUUUAAAUAAGGGAUCAUGUUGGCUGCCUUGGGCCUAUAUAAAAACCUUGAUGGCCGAUUCUGAAAGAUGGCGGAUCGAAGCAGAAUGAAACGGUUUUGUUCCAGAUGGGCCAGUGGACUAGGGAUUAAGGUGAUUCCGGGAAUUUAAGCUAAUAAAAUUCAAUUGGACCUGGGAUUUGGCCUUGGUUGCUGCUUCCGUUCAGGAAAGGUUAUAGAUUCAGAUUGGACCUGGACCGGAAGCUUGAAUGCGGUAUAUGAACCCAAAUAUUAUUCUAAAACGUUGAAUCAUCAAAUUUCGGUUCCUGAAGAAAAUCAACAAUACCAGCCAACUGUAAGAUCGAGAGGAAAAUUUCUCCAAUCAACGAAAAUUUUAAUCGAAAAUUAUUUAAAAAGGACACUCGUCCGGUCCGUCUUGUCAUCCGGGUGCAAACUCACAGAAGGUCGGAAAACCAAAAAUUAUACCAGAGCACCCCAGGCAUGGUGGUGCUGGAAAACAGCUUCUCCCUCGUUGGAUGGAGUCGGUGUUGAAGUGGCUUUGCAGGUUUGUGUUUUGCUUUGAUUUAAUUUAAAAUUUAGUUUUAAGUCUAGUUUUAAGUCUAGUUUUAAGUUUAGCUUUAAGUUUAGCUUUAUGUUUAAUUAAUUAAUUCUUUUUUUUAAUAAAAUUGAUUUAAUUUAUAUAAAAAAAUAAAAUCAAA